UACGAAGGGGGCUAGCGUUGCUCGGAAUUACUGGGCGUAAAGCGCACGUAGGCGGAUUGUUAAGUCGGGGGUGAAAUCCUGGAGCUCAACUCCAGAACUGCCUUCGAUACUGGCGAUCUCGAGUUCGGGAGAGGUGAGUGGAACUGCGAGUGUAGAGGUGAAAUUCGUAGAUAUUCGCAAGAACACCAGUGGCGAAGGCGGCUCACUGGCCCGAUACUGACGCUGAGGCACGAAGGUCAGGGGAGCAAACGGG
rnacentral:rRNA from 1 species